GACGAACGCUGGCGGCGUGCUUAACACAUGCAAGUCGAACGAAGUGGCGAACGGGUGAGUAACGCGUAAUCAACCUGCCCUUCGGAGGGGGACAACAGUUGGAAACGACUGCUAAUACCGCAUACUGAAGGAGGGGAUUGUGUUUGAUUAGCCAGUUGGGGGGGUAACGGCCCACCAAGGCGAUGAUCAGUCGCCGGGCUGGGAGGGUGAACGGCCACAUUGGGACUGAGACAAGGCCCAGACUCCGACGGGAGGCAGCAGGGGGGAAUCUUCCGCAAUGGACGAAAGGCUGACGGAGCAAAGCCGCGUGAGUGAAGACGGCCUCCGGGUUGUAAAGCUCUGUUAAUCGGGACGCGGUACCGGAAUAGAAAGCCACGGCUAACUACGUGCCAGCAGCCGCGGUAAUAC
rnacentral:rRNA from 1 species